rnacentral:rRNA from 1 species
ACGAGGGGUGCAAGCGUUAAUCGGAAUUACUGGGCGUAAAGCGCGCGUAGGUGGUUUGGUAAGAUGGAUGUGAAAUCCCCGGGCUCAACCUGGGAACUGCAUCCAUAACUGCCUGACUAGAGUACGGUAGAGGGUGGUGGAAUUUCCUGUGUAGCGGUGAAAUGCGUAGAUAUAGGAAGGAACACCAGUGGCGAAGGCGACCACCUGGACUGAUACUGACACUGAGGUGCGAAAGCGUGGGGAGCAAACAGGA